UAGGGAAUCUUCGGCAAUGGACGAAAGUCUGACCGAGCAACGCCGCGUGAGUGAAGAAGGUUUUCGGAUCGUAAAACUCUGUUGUUAGAGAAGAACAAGGACGUUAGUAACUGAACGUCCCCUGACGGUAUCUAACCAGAAAGCCACGGCUAACUACGUGCCAGCAGCCGCGGUAAUACGUAGGUGGCAAGCGUUGUCCGGAUUUAUUUGGCGUAAAGCGAGCGCAGGCGGUUUCUUAAGUCUGAUGUGAAAGCCCCCGGCUCAACCGGGGAGGGUCAUUGGAAACUGGGAGACUUGAGUGCAGAAGAGGAGAGUGGAAUUCCAUGUGUAGCGGUGAAAUGCGUAGAUAUAUGGAGGAACACCAGUUGCGAAGGCGGCUCUCUGGUCUGUAACUGACGCUGAGGCUCGAAAGCGUGGGGAGCAAACAGG
rnacentral:rRNA from 1 species